UGGGGGCCAAGGCCUGGCACACUCCAUCCCCGCCCACAAGGAGAACAGCAAGGUGAGGUCCCUGAAAGGUAACUGUUUAGAACACAGCAUGGCCAUGACCUUGGUGGAGGGAUGUGCAGAGGCAGGGGCACAGGUCUGGGCAGCAGAGGCAGGGAUCACUCUGGAGGGAGCACGUGGCAAGGAGUUUCUAAGUUUAACUGGACACUCUGGCUCCCUUUGGCCUGAGGCAUGAAGGGUGAAGAGAAUAGUCCAGGCAGACAUUCAGGGGGGUGAGGAGAGAGGAAAUGAGUGUGUGCAUGCGUGCAUGGGUGUGUGGAUGACAGGGUGGGAAGUAUUCCAGACAUGGCAGCCAGGAGGUACAAAGGAGCUGGUUAACCCCGGGAAUUUCCAGUAGUGCGGCGUUAUGGACCCUGAAUGUGAACGUACCCUUAAGAGGGGGACAGUAGGUGGGCCUGGUUGUGAUGACUCCCCAGGAUGAGAAGGUACAGCUGGUCUGUUAGUAUGCAUUGAGUGAGGAAAGACUUUGUACAGGGGAGUGCUCUGGUCACUGGGUUGAGGGUACUAGAAGGUGAAUCCCUGACCAGAAAACCAGAGUGUGGGGCUGGUGUAGUUCCCAGGCCAUGGGCCAGGCCCCUGGGGGUAGGUGGGGUCUUCGGUCUGUUCCUCACUCUCUUGAGGCCUGAGGAGAGUGGGAAGUACAGAGGAGAGUGAGAAGCCACACAGGUGCCUGAAGGCCAGUGUCUAGAGUGAGGUGGACUUAUCCUCAGCCUCAUUCUUCAUGGUGGGGAGACUCCUAG
rnacentral:lncRNA from 1 species